CCAGUCGGUUGGAUGGCCGUCGGUCCUUCGGGGCUGGAGGAAAGUCCGGGCUCCACGGAGAAACGGUGCCGGUUAAUGGCCGGCGGGGGCGACCCCAGGGAAAGUGCCACAGAAAGCGAUACCGCCUUCGGUUUUCGGACCGGAGGUAAGGGUGAAAAGGUGCGGUAAGAGCGCACCGCGCGGCCGGUAACGGGCGCGGCAGGGAAAACCCCACCGGGAGCAAGACCAAAUAGGAGUGACGAGGGGCUUUCGGGCUCCUGAGGCGGCUCCGGCCUCUGUCAUUCGGGUAGGUUGCUUGAGGCGGCAGGAGACUGUCGUCCCAGAGGAAUGGCCGUCCAAUCCGGAGCGAUCCGGAGGGACAGAACCCGGCUUAUAGACUGGCUGGCACG
rnacentral:RNase_P_RNA from 1 species